rnacentral:lncRNA from 1 species
CUAAGAAACCAGAACUGCCUGCAGCUAUGAAUGCUCUGCGGUCCCACCCUGUGUGAAGGAAACUGCUCUUGGCUGUGCACUUUUCUCUGGAGCAACGUGAAGACAGGCUUUUGGCCUUAAGGACACAAGUAGGUGAACAAGAAGUUGAGAAACAGGGUGGACAGAGAGAAUAUUACACCACGAAGGUUCUAAUAUUCAGAUGGGAAAAGGCAGUUGGAGUUCUUGAUUAGGUUUCCAAAUUCAAGGGUAAUAAUGCUUUUGCUUCUGCUUCCUGCAUUCUUGGUUCUGCCCUCUGAGUCAUCCUUCCUUUCUCAUGAAGCAUAGUAAAAGUUCAGAGUUGAGCAGUUUUAUCAGGUUGCUUCCUACAGAUAGAAUUUGGGGAUGGGGGUGAGGGAAUAUAACAGCCUCCUUUUAUUUUGUACCUACUGUGUCAUUCAAGCUGGCAGGCUGUCGGUUGUACUGAUGAUAUGGGUCUUGAAGAUCAGAAAAAUGUCCUUGCUCCUUGGUGUUGAAGAUUAAACAUCUAAGAAAUGCCAAGGCAAGUGUAGAAAGCAAGUUUUAUUUAAUAAAGGGAUAGAGACAGACUUCUAAGAGAAGUGGCCCCAGAGCUGGGCAUGUGUUGUUCUUUCAUAGACCUCAGAAUCUCCCUUUAAAUCAUUGCCUUCUCUCUUUUCUCCAUAUAAUGUAAAGAAUUUAAAAGCUCUAAAGAAAUCAAAAGGAGACAGAAGCAAGUUGCAGAGGCAGAAUGACAGAAUGGCCCCUUGCCCAAGCUGCCAGCUUUAUUUAUAUCAAUAGGCUACAUAAGGUCACUAGCCUCAGUAGUACAUUAUUGUUCAUUGUGUCAUUAGGCAGGUUACAGAGUUAGCAACAUUAUGCAGUUUAUUCCUGAGUUACGUGCUAUAGUUGCAAUGUGCAAUGUUAGGAGUUUUGUGUAGCUCACAAGAAAAUUCACUGUUUAAAGCUACUGAUAUGUGGACAGGUUCAGGUGCAGUGGAGCUUGGUGAAACAUUGUGUGAAACAAGAGAGUUUUCUUUAUUCUCAGGAGCUGUAUGCCUAAAAUCAAGGUCAAGUCUGAUAAGCCUCCUCAUGCUGGGCAUUGCUACAGCAGCUAGCCAUCCUGUGUCUCUGCACAGAAAGUUUCCCAGCUGCUAGGCAUCCUGUAUUUUUGUACAGAAACUUUCCUUGCCACCAAGCAUGCCACAGCCAUGAAGUCAUCAGAGACCCCAAUCCCAAACACAGAACCCUUACAGUAUAAGUGCCUGGGAACAGGAAAUUGGGGGUUAGUUGUUAGCAAUGCAGACUGCCCAGGAGCCUGAUCAUAGAGGCUAACAAUCCAUUGUCCUCUAUUUAAUAACCAGUCCUCACUCUCUCUGGACCCCCAUCAUUCAUUAUCUACACUGAUUGCCUGAUCUUCAUCCCCUGCCUCAGUUUGCUGAGGAAUGUGUCAUAUCCUGUCCACUCAGGCCAGGUGAGGCUGCAGGCAGUUUGAUUUUUGGCUAAGAAAGCUUGUGCUGGGUGUGGUCAGCACCAUGGGCCCAUUUUAUCCAAUUAUUCUCCUAACUGGUGUCCCACCAUUCUCAUCUAUCUGUCCCCUUACACUAAUAUUCUCAAGUACUUCUGAUAUAUUUCACUGGAGCCCCACUCCAUGAGACACAAGCCACAUCCAUAGGCAGUUUUAACAUAAAUUCUCCUAUACAUUGGCCUUGAUGGAGUUUUUGUGAAGUGUCGCGACCCCUUGCCCGCAAGGAAGACGCAACUCAGGAAUCUUCUUUCAGCAGUUUAUUCAGGCCCUUGAUAUUUCUUCUUCUACCCUCGGAUGCCCCUCCCAGCCUUAAUAAAGCAUCUCAAGCCCCAAUGCGAAGCUGCCACGUGGAGCUUUCUCAUAGGGUGGUGAAAAACCA